GACGAACGCUGGCGGCGUGCUUAACACAUGCAAGUCGAACGGAAAGGCCCUGCUUUUGUGGGGUGCUCGAGUGGCGAACGGGUGAGUAACACGUGAGUAACCUGCCCUUGACUUUGGGAUAACUUCAGGAAACUGGGGCUAAUACCGGAUAGGAGCUCCUGCGGCAUGGUGGGGGUUGGAAAGUUUCGGCGGUUGGGGAUGGACUCGCGGCUUAUCAGCUUGUUGGUGGGGUAGUGGCUUACCAAGGCUUUGACGGGUAGCCGGCCUGAGAGGGUGACCGGCCACAUUGGGACUGAGAUACGGACCAGACUCCUACGGGAGGCAGCAGUGGGGAAUAUUGCCCAAUGGGCGGAAGCCUGAUGCAGCAACGCCGCGUGCGGGAUGACGGCCUUCGGGUUGUAAACCGCUUUCGCCUGUGACGAAGCGUGAGUGACGGUAAUGGGUAAAGAAGCACCGGCUAACUACGUG
rnacentral:rRNA from 1 species